UACGGAGGUGGCAAGCGUUGCUCGGAAUCACUGGGCGUAAAGGGCGCGUAGGCGGGGAGGUAAGUCGGGUGUGAAAUCCCUCGGCCCAACCGAGGAACUGCGCCCGAGACUGCUUCUCUUGAGUCCCGGAGAGGAAGAUGGAAUUCCCGGUGUAGCGGUGAAAUGCGUAGAUAUCGUAAGGAAGACCAGUGGCGAAGGCGGGUCUCUGGACAGUUCCUGACGCUGAGGCACGAAGGCCAGGGGAGCAAACGGG
rnacentral:rRNA from 1 species